UAACUUGUGUUUGUCAACCAUUUUUUGACUUACAUUUAACAUACUCUCAACUAUAUCCAACAUUUUACUUUCACCCUACACAACCUUUUUUUUUGUUCAUAUCUGCUUAAAUUGAAAAUCAAAAGUAAAUCAAAAGUACACAGAAACUGGUCUCAGGGUAACCAUGAUGGAGCACUUGUGCAUCCCUAAAAGCAUCUCAGUUAAAUGUAUAGGUCAGAUUGUUAACAUAAACUUUGAAGGGUGGAUACCCACGAGAUCCAGUUCUGUUGCUAUAAUAAGCUGGCACAUGUACAAGCUGGUGGACAAUUAACCCCUUAAUACAGUUGCAAUGAAAGAGCAAAAGAGCAAUACUAGUUGUAUUGUCUGACUGCAUUUUU